AACGCACGAGACCUGCGGACCUGCGGAGGGAUCAUUAAUGAGAAACUGCCCCUCGCGGGUAGAUCUCCCACCCUUUGUAAACUUACCUUUGUUGCUUUGGCAGGCCCGUCUCCGGACCGCCGGCUUCGGCUGGCCAGUGCCUGCCAGAGGAUUCUAAAACUCUGUCUGUCAGUGUUGUCUGAGUCUAUUUACAAUCGUUAAAACUUUCAACAAUGGAUCUCUAGAUCGGAAGAGCACACG
rnacentral:misc_RNA from 1 species